GAUGAACGCUGGCGGCGUGCCUAAUACAUGCAAGUCGAGCGAACAGACGAGGAGCUUGCUCCUCUGACGUUAGCGGCGGACGGGUGAGUAACACGUGGAUAACCUACCUAUAAGACUGGGAUAACUUCGGGAAACCGGAGCUAAUACCGGAUAAUAUAUUGAACCGCAUGGUUCAAUAGUGAAAGACGGUUUUGCUGUCACUUAUAGAUGGAUCCGCGCCGCAUUAGCUAGUUGGUAAGGUAACGGCUUACCAAGGCAACGAUGCGUAGCCGACCUGAGAGGGUGAUCGGCCACACUGGAACGGGAACACGGUCCAGACUCCUACGGGAGGCAGCAGUAGGGAAUCUUCCGCAAUGGGCGGAAGCCUGACGGAGCAACGCCGCGUGAGUGAUGAAGGUCUUCGGAUCGUAAAACUCUGUUAUUAGGGAAGAACAAAUGUGUAAGUAACUAUGCACGUCUUGACGGUACCUAAUCAGAAAGCCACGGCUAACUACGUG
rnacentral:rRNA from 1 species